AAAUCGGAGUGGCUGAGUCGAUUGAGAGGCCGGGCGGAGACACGGCGCCUCGGGUGCCGUCUGGGGGUCCUGGGGCCACCUUGUGUGCGCUGCGCGGAGAAGCCCCGAGAUAAGGGGGUGGCUGGCAGCUAACACAGGGAGAGGAACAAGAAACUCACCCAAACUGUUCUUUAAUCGCCAAAUGGCCAGCACACGCUGGUCCCUGUCUGCUCCCAUUACGCAGAUGAGGAGACCGAGGUCCAAGAAGAAACAAGGUGUUUACUCAGCAGCUCCAGGAAGGAGGAAGUCUGGGUUGAGCGCCCCACUCCAGGAGCCCUCAGCUCAGCUGCCACUCUCCUUGUGUGGGCGUGAGCUUCCUGUGGGCCCCUCCCCCUAAAGCAGCUACCUCUGCUCCCACCAAGACCCCCGACCUCUGCCCCCCUGCACAGAGCGAGCGCACCUCGUCCAGUCUCCCUCCCGCUGGCAAAGACACCACGCCAGAGCGCGAUGCUCAGCUAAUAAAUAUGUAGCAGGAUUUUUAUUACUUAAUAGUUGUAAGGUUAAUCGUCGCGGUGAACGCCUAUAUUUAAUGUGUCAAUGGAGCUGCAAAAUGCCAAACUGAAUAGCUUUAACACACAUUAGUUCUACUUGUGAAUCUACAAAUAGGAACCUUGUCAGCAAAGUAUUCAAACCAAGAUCAGUAUUGAUUUGGGUCCUCGAGAAAGGCACUGGACUGUGACAGUUUAAAAUGAUAAAUGUCGAGAGAAUUAUUUGCCCGUAUUGAUAAAAAGCUGCAGAUAUAAAGCUGACAGUCUCGGAGGAGGCGUCGCCGCCGAGCGCGGGCAGCACAUCUGACGUUGUUGGGCUCUGAACUAAUCUCUCCUUUGAUAUGGAGACGAUCUGCCUCUGAUCCGGCCCUGCCCUCCCCGGAGCUGGCCUGGCAGUAAUUGCACAGGAGGCAGCUCAGUUGGCUCGAGGGGCCCUGCCCCGGCCACCUCACUCUAUGCUUGGAAGGGAGCGCUCUGCAGGAACCCACGGCUCCUAUCCACUCACCUUCUGCGCCUCACAGAGCAAGACUGAAGUCCUCAGCCUCGUGGGUCUCGGGCCACGUCAGCUCCCACGGCUGACCCCAUGGAGU